CGCGUAGGCGGUUUGUUAAGUCAGCUGUGAAAGCCCCGGGCUCAACCUGGGAACUGCAGUUGAUACUGGCCGACUAGAGUACGAGAGAGGGAGGUAGAAUUCCACGUGUAGCGGUGAAAUGCGUAGAUAUGUGGAGGAAUACCGGUGGCGAAGGCGGCCUCCUGGCUCGAUACUGACGCUGAGGUGCGAAAGCGUGGGGAGCAAACA
rnacentral:rRNA from 1 species